GAUGAAGAACGUAGCAAAAUGCGAUAAGUAAUGUGAAUUGCAGAAUUCAGUGAAUCAUCGAAUCUUUGAACGCACAUUGCGCCCGCCAGUAUUCUGGCGGGCAUGCCUGUUCGAGCGUCAUUUCAACCCUCAAGCACAGCUUGGUGUUGGGACUCGCGUUAAUUCGCGUUCCUCAAAUUGAUUGGCGGUCACGUCGAGCUUCCAUAGCGUAGUAGUAAAACCCUCGUUACUGGUAAUCGUCGCGGCCACGCCGUUAAACCCCAACUUCUGAAUGUUGACCUCGGAUCAGGUAGGGAUACCCGCUGAACUUAAGCAUAUCAAUAAGCGGAGGA
rnacentral:misc_RNA from 1 species